rnacentral:rRNA from 1 species
ACUCCUACGGGAGGCAGCAGUGGGGAAUAUUGCACAAUGGGCGCAAGCCUGAUGCAGCCAUGCCGCGUGUAUGAAGAAGGCCUUCGGGUUGUAAAGUACUUUCAGCAGUGAGGAAGGUGGGUAUGUUAAUAGCAUAUUCAUUUGACGUUAGCUGCAGAAGAAGCACCGGCUAACUCCGUGCCAGCAGCCGCGGUAAUACGGAGGGUGCGAGCGUUAAUCGGAAUUACUGGGCGUAAAGCGCAUGCAGGUGGUUUGUUAAGUCAGAUGUGAAAGCCCGGGGCUCAACCUCGGAAUUGCAUUUGAAACUGGCAAACUAGAGUACUGUAGAGGGGGGUAGAAUUUCAGGUGUAGCGGUGAAAUGCGUAGAGAUCUGAAGGAAUACCGGUGGCGAAGGCGGCCCCCCUGGACACGAUACUGACACUCAGAUGCGAAAGCGUGGGGAGCAAACAGGAUUAGAUACCCUGGUAGCUCU